ensembl:lncRNA
CACUAUUUAGGCUUCAGGAGCCUGACUUCAAUCACUGACUACACCCAGAUGAGAUACCCUGAGCACGAACUGACUGCACUCAACAGCACAGAAAUGUAUGAAAUGCUCCAUGUCGUCACAGAGGCAUGUGCUUCCCAUCGAGAGACAAGGUUUGGCACUUUCUCUUCUUCCAGAAAUACAACUCAUAUUCAGCUUUGAAGUAUUGCUUGGGAGUUCUCAUCUUUGAUGUGACAAGUCACUUCUUGUCUCUCUGUUCUUAUAGUGUGUCCUUUCCAGUGCAUGACAACCAGAAGGGUUUCCAGACAAUGGUCUACAUCUUCUUCUGGCCAGCUAUGCUUCAGUUUUCCCCUCUCGUUUUUAGAAAUAAAAUUGAUUCCAUCAUAUGCACCUUAAUACUAAUGAUAGGUGGUUGAUUGACAACCUAAGCUUCAACUGCA